rnacentral:lncRNA from 1 species
AGAAGCCCUAAUUUUGUCUUGAAGCCCAAGUUGUUAUACUACUAUAAAUACGAAGGCAAGCAUAUGGUUUCAAGCAUCUAAAAUCGUGUCUUACAAAGCGUGUGUUUUAGGGAUUUUAGAGUGUUAAUUGUGAGCCUUUCUUGUGUCUCAUUGAUGCAAGCUUAGGACCUGAGUUUAUUGAGUUGUAAGUGUGAACUUCUCCUAAGCUUUGAAGUACGGAG